rnacentral:rRNA from 1 species
CGAUAAGGACCCUAUAGAAUUUUAUACUAACAUUAAUUAGUACUUAAUAUUAUUUUAUUGCUAGUAUUUGAUUGGGAGGAUCAUUAAAUUUAAUAAACUUUAUAUUUCGAAUAACUUUAAUUAAAGAAAAUAUAAUGACCCUUAAUUUAAGACAGAUAGAGUAAAUUACCUUAGGGAUAACAGCGUAAUACUUUUUUAUAGACCAUAUAGAAAAAAGUGAUUGCGACCUCGAUGUUGAAUUAAGAUAAAUUUUAAAUGCAGGAGUUUAAUAAUUAAGUCUGUU